ACAACAUCAAAAUAGUUUCAAUGGUGGAAAGUCCGGUGGGUGUGUACUGUUGCGAAAAAGUGUUUAUGAUUGUCCAGAUUGUUGGCGGGCCUGUAGAGUAAUCUGGAGUAGAGGAAAUUCAUGGAAAAAUGAAAAUGUGUUUCUAAACGGGUUGAUAUUUUGAAAAACAUUUUACAAAGAUGUCAACAAAACGAAACAUCACCAGACAAGCCUGGAAAUGAACCCACAGGGAUAAAGAAAACAAGUUCGCCCAAGAAAGAGCUGGAGGAGAACUGUGAUAGACGAGGCCUGGAGGCAGGGUAUUUUCUGGACGAGAUAGAAAGGAUAGCGCAAAACAGAGUGUCAUGUCAUGCUGUUUCCAAAUGCCUAUCUCCAUGAGGAGUUGAAGGGAUUAUAAGUCAACAAAACAAUUACAAGAUCAUCUUUUAGAAGAAAACAAAAUGAUGGAGCAUCAAAGCAUGCAAAUUUCAGUGAGCCGAUUGAUAGUACAGUAGUAAAACCAUGCCAAUAUCAAGCAAGAGAUGGGCCUAUCUAAUGAUUACGGUAAUGACGAUUAAUCACAAGCAGCCAAUGUCAACAGAACGUGCGUUUUGCUAAGUUUUUUUUCUCAAGAUUAAAAUUGACAAGUGCUAGCCAGGAUUCUUGGUACAGUCUCAUUAACACUAAAGCAAAGGUAUUUAUUCUUAUUAAUUCUGAUUACUCGAACCAUGCAUUUGAGUGGUGCAAGGAGCUAAUGAUCCAUAGAUGGAGUGAGAUACAAUUAUCAUAAUGGAGUUGACAGAUCCCUUGUUGUUUUUCCAAUUAGUGUCAGCUUCGGAGUUGUGGAAGUAACUUUUGAUCAGUUAUUCAUGUUACUACAUACUCCAUCAGCUUAUGACAGACCGGAAGACUCCGAGCCCGAUGUAAUUUCACACUCUCGCCAAACGUGUCAAUCAAAAUCAUGGAGGGGAACUUAACCCAGGUUCAGUAACCAACCUUCUCUAUCUCGUAUUGGUGUGUUGAACAGUGGUAGGCCAGAGAUGAAAUUAUAAGCCAAGAUUGCGGCGCCCCCAAGGAUGAAGUGGUAGCCAGUAAGGCUAGCCUGAAAUUAACUAUAAGUAUAAGAAAAUAAUCUCCAAUUUUUGUGCUGAUGAUGAGUUUAACCCAUUUUCCGCAGUGGUAGUUCAUAUUUUGUAUACAAACAAACAUGGAAUGCAUGGACCAUUAAGCCUAUGUACGAUUACAUCCCUCUGCCAUGGGUUCAUCACCUGUUAUUUAGCUAUUUUUUAGAGUUUUUAUAACGAUAAUAAUUACUAUUGUUAUUAUUAUAAUAAUAAUAAAUAAAUGAAUACUUUGAUGUCAUUUUAUUUCGUUCGUUUUACUGUAUUAUUAAUUUUUUUAAAUAUAUUUUAUAUUGUAUAUUGGAAGUCUAAUAGUGGUUUACAAGUACUCGUUCUGUCCAGCUGGGAUUUGAGAUGAUAGAAGUAUUUAAGAUGAUUUAUAUUGGUAGUCAUGAGCAUUGUUAUUUCCAAUUUUUGGACAAUAAAGAAAUUUGUAUCUUG